rnacentral:rRNA from 1 species
UACGGAGGGUGCAAGCGUUAUCCGGAUUCACUGGGUUUAAAGGGUGCGUAGGUGGGCUAGUAAGUCCGUGGUGAAAUCUCCGAGCUUAACUCGGAAACUGCCGUGGAUACUAUUAGUCUUGAAUGUCGUGGAGGUAAGCGGAAUAUGUCAUGUAGCGGUGAAAUGCUUAGAUAUGACAUAGAACACCGAUAGCGAAGGCAGCUUGCUACACGAUAAUUGACACUGAGGCACGAAAGCGUGGGGAUCAAACAGG